AACGUAGGUCCCGAGCGUUAUCCGGAUUUACUGGGCGUAAAGCGUGUUCAGGCGGUCUAGCAAGUCGGGCAUGAAAUCUCUCGGCUCAACCGGGAGGGGUUGUCCGAUACUGCUGGGCUUGAGGGCAGCAGAGGGUGGUGGAAUUCCGGGUGUAGUGGUGAAAUGCGUAGAUAUCCGGAGGAACACCAGUGGCGAAGGCGGCCACCUGGGCUGUACCUGACGCUCAAACAUGAAAGCUAGGGGAGCGAACGGG
rnacentral:rRNA from 1 species